rnacentral:lncRNA from 1 species
GGAAGAAAGUGCCACCGCCUGAGCAGCUGUCUCAGAAGUGACAGAAGCAGGAACUCGGGUGGAGCCACUGCGCAAGCCGAGGGCGGCGCCCGCUCGGGGCUCCGCACCUGAGGGAGUCUUCAAGCCGCCGCGCAGACCGCGCAAGCGCCCUGCCGCUCAGCCCCGCCCCGCCUUCGCCCUGCUCUUGCAAACGCUUUAUAAACCUAAGUGCAACUUCGUACGCAAGGGUCUCAAAGCGAUCCUCCCAUCUCAGCCUCCGAGUGCUGGGAUCACAGAUGUGCACCACCACGCCAGCUGCCUCUUGAUUGGGCUGCAGAAUCCAUUCACAUCCACUGUAAUUGCUAUUAAGGUUAAGGUUCGAUGCUUGUUUUGUUACUUUUCCCGUAUGGUCCCUGUUUUGUGCCUCUAGUCCUCGAAUCCUGCUUUCCUGUAAAAUAUUUUCUAAGUUACCUUUUGAAUUCCCUUUCUGUUUCAGUUACAAGACUUUUUGAGUUAACGUCUUAGUAGUUUCCCUGGGGAUAACAACUAGCAUCUUAAUUUCUAGUUAAGAUCUAAACCAAGCUAGUCCGAGUUAACUCUAAUUUUAAUAGUAUAUAAAAUUUUUCCUCCAAUAUAGCCCACUUUCCUCCCACUUUCGCACACACCAUUGUCAUACAAGUUACACCCUGACCCAACAGUUUUGUAAUUAUUGCUAUAUGUGGUAAAAGCACGAAGACAAAGUUACAACAAAAUGUUUCGUUUGUCACCCU